rnacentral:rRNA from 1 species
AGCAGCCGCGGUAAUUCCAGCUCCAAUAGCGUAUAUUAAAGUUAGUUGCAGUUAAAAAGACUCGUAGUUGAAUUUCGGGAUUGACGUGAUGGUCAUGCCUUAAGGGGUAUGAACUGUUGCAGUUGAUUUCUCACCUUCUGGAGAAACUUGAUGUCCUUUAUUGGGUGUCUUGCGGAUUCCAGGACCUUUACCUUGAAAAAUUAGAGUGUUUAAAGCAGGCAUUUUUGCUCGAAUACAUUAGCAUGGAAUAAUAGAA